GUUCUCUGCACUUCCAUCACUGGAGGGUUUGUAUCAGACACCCAACAGUACAAGAACAGACUACAACGGUCAGUCAGAUUUGUAGAAAAAAAAAAGGUGCAGACUUGCCCUCCAGUAAGGAUUUAUACAAAUCCAGAUUCAGGAAAUGGGAAUGCAGCAUCACCGCAGACCCAUCAUACCACUGCACAUGACCUCUUCCAACCUCCCCACUCUGCUGCUUCCUUUACGGGUCACCGGAGCGGAUCAUCUGCCUCGAUCUCACCUUAUUUGUAGCGUCCUCCCACGUUGCAUCAACCCUCUGAAUUCCUCCUUCACUACAUCCACUAAUCUUCUCUGAGGUCUUCCUGUCUACCAGCUCCAUAUUCAGCAUUCUUUGUUUAGUAUACCCACCAUGCCUCCUCUGCACAUGUCCAAACCAUCUCUAACUUUGUCUCCAAACUGCUCGACCUGAACUGUCCCUCUGAUGUUCUCAUUUCUAAUCCUGUCCACUCUCCCAGUGCAAAUCUUAAUCUCUUCAGGUCUGCCUCCAGUCUUUUAUCACUACCAUCUUGUAAACCUUCCCUUUCACGCUAUCCCUCUGUCACAACCCAUGUGGUCCACCCUUCCUGCACUCAUUUCUUCACCGUUCAUGUACUGUCUGUUGCUUUGGAUGGUUGACCUAGGUAUUUAAACUCACCUACCUUCCCAACUCUGCUCCUUGCAGUAUUCUAUUUUUGCUUCUGCUGAUGUUUAUUCCUCUUCUCUAUAAAGCAUCCAUAGCUCUCCAGGGUCUCUCCCACCUGCUUGCUACUCUUACUACAGAUCACAGCAUCAUCUACCAACAUCAAUACCAGUACACUUCUUUUCCAUUAUUAUGUACACAACUAAAAAUGACCUAAAAAUGAAAAGAUAAAAAUGAAAAGUAGUGUUGUGUGGUGGUUAUGAGAAAAAAAAACAUCUAGAGAGAAUAACCAGAUUUUCCAACAAGGAUUUUGUAGUCCAUAAUUUAUUUCUUAAAUAUGCUUUGUAUGCAUACGGCUGUGUGGAUACCAGUAUGAAGAGGAAAGGAAACAACAGAUCGACAAACAUACAAUGUAAACAUUUUCAAAUAGAGGCUCGAAAAAGAGACAGCGGGGGAUAAAACAAGAUUGGAUCAGAUCGAUCCUGCAGCUCUGAGCAGCUGCAGGAGUCACAAAGUGCUUUGAAUUCAGAGUAAAGACACGAGCAGCAGCAGAGGGGAAGACAUGAUGUGGGAUAUCUCACCGUACAUAUGUGCACAGGACAGUGAGCAUUUGAAAUGUGCAGUUUAAUGCAACACUAGUGCUUAGAAACAAAAAGAAACUACUGUGAGCAUUUUACUACCAGCACACAAUAUUCAUUACCUGCUGCCUCUGUAGUGUCUCCAGCACACAGGCUGCUAGCUAAAGAGUGUUUUAUUUCACAUUUCAGGAGGGUAGACUAGAAGGAUCAGUUUGCAUAGGUUCAUGAUGCCAACAGCAUCCCAUCUUAUUUGCUUUUAACUGUGUCUGAAAGCACGGCUCCGAUUGGUGAUUUAAAAAAAAAAAAAAAAAGCCUUCAAAGUGUUACUCAGCCACGUGAAAAAGGCGUCAAAAUGAUGCAGCUUUGUCUUUAAGGGGACAGAUUAUGCUCAUUCCCAGCUUCCUGUUUUCUUUCUUGGACUCUAGUAGAGUAGCUUUGCAUGACUCACAGUUCAUAAUAAUCCCAUCUUACACAUGGCCCAUUCAGUUCACUCUGUGUUUAAAUCACAGAAAACAUAAAAGACAUAUACAGCAACAGGGACGUCACCCAGUGUUGAAUGAAGUCCUGCUAUGAAGCCUCGAGUUGAACAUUUUCAUUACUUUAGUGUUUUGAAAUCAGGUGUGAGGAACGAGACGCAGCUCUGACUAUCGAUUACAUGACCAUAAGUUACCAAAAUGACUUAAUGCUUUAUUAAACAUGAUCUGAAUCUAGUACAUGACUCUAUAAACACACCAGCAAACUGUUUACUGAGUAAGCGAGGAUUCAGGUCGCCCUCUGGUGGCCAUUAAAAAGACUACAGGGUUUAAAUACAAAGCCACAGCUAUCUUUUAUACUUUCUACAUCUGAACGAAGUGUUUAUCUCAGAACUACUGUUCUUCUGAUUGGCUGCUCCUUGCAGGUGGGUGGGGCCUUAGUGCCUAGUGCCAUAGCUGUUGACCAAAUUAGGGAUAUCCACUCUUACUAGCAUCACACAAGUGAAGAGUAGGAAAAAAAAAAAGUCUGAAAAUGAGUGUUUAUAGCAGUCUGAACUUUUGGCUCACAGGGAUCAUUGUACAAACAAAGGGCACAAUACAGUCACUUUAAAGCCGAGGUGUUCAAACUAUGGAGUGAACCUUUCAUGGUGGAGCAGUGAGAUAGAUGUCUCUACUCUUUCUCUCAGGCCAAUGUGAACACAUGGCUGUAAUUUUUUUUUUUUUUUUUUUUACAUUUUUAGUGUUAGUUUAACUUAUAUUUCCAGAGGAUAUCAUUAUGUAAAUAUCCAACAAUCCAUUCAGAACAAAGGAUGUCCUCUAUCACUGCAGAACUUGCCUGAGAAUUUUUACAUUAUCUACAGUAUUAAAGUAUCCCUGUCGCAGUGGCCUGCACGUCCAUGGGUACAACCCUCCAAAAAACCUUGGAAUAACUAAUUUGGCGUAGUUUUUGAUGGCGGGCGUUUGCUAAAAAUUAAAAAAAAGAAAAGAAAAAGAAAACAGGACUCAAGCUGUAGUUGAAAGCUUAUUAACCAUUUUCAUGGAAACAUCAUCAUACGUGUUUACGGUCCUAUAAGCUCCAAAGUGAAGUUAGAGCAGAAAAUCAGUGUGUUCAUUAUUAUAAGUAUUACCUAUGAUGUUUAAUAUUGUUUGGCAGCACGGAGGCUCAGAGCAUUAUUAAAAAUAUGUAUUUAAUGCAGUGUUUACACUUGGUUUUAAAAAGCCACUCUGGAAAUUGGAUCACAAGUGAACAGUCAAGACUCAUCACAGUGUUGCCUCCAUGGAUCGAACCACAUGUGCUCAGACUUCCUUACAAUCUGCGUUACCUCCAUUAGAAGGUCAAAGUGCCCCAAGUAUUCACCUGUCUGUCAUCAGUCAAGAGUCUGGAGAGUCCAGAUGUAGAGACUGGCAGGCAAAGUUUUAAAAAUGGUGCACAAAACAAAAAGAAAAACCACCACGUCCUGGCUUGAUGGUUUAUAAGAGAUGAAAGUAGCCACUCUGAUGUCAUGCAGCUGUUAUAGAAACCUCAACAUCAGCGUUUUAGCCGCCACGAUAUCUGGAUGAGAGGGUCGAGUGAUGAGUGAUGAGUUAAGGGUAGCAAGCUUUGUCAGAAAGUUGCAUACAUUAACUGCAAGAGACGCAUAUCUGCAAACUAGAGCUGAAUGGCGCACAAAUAAAAAUAAAGAAAAUAAGGAACACAGACUUAUAGGAUUGUUUGAACAAUUAACAGCACAGCAAACUGCAUAAUUUGUCAGAUAAUCUAACUAAAAAUGCUCCAACAGCCUGUAGUGACACCUGCCAAACGAAUUUAUCCCCAACUUUUAGCCUCGCUAGCAUCGAAAGUUUAAAAGAUAAAAAUAAAAUAAGAGGGGAUCAAAGAAAGAAGCUGUAAACACGCUUAUUAAUGAUGUAAAGUUGGGCAUUUUAUCAUGGGAGCCUGUGGGGACUGAGUCGCUUUUGGAGCCAGUCUCAAGUUGUUAUUAGAGGGGCUGCAGUUUUUGGCACUUUGCGCUCUGGGACUGAAAAUGAGGCCAACGCAGAGACGCCAAAAAAAACUCUUAAU